AGCUGGAGGCUCCAAAAUAGAAGGCUCAACCUUGGACAGGCUAUGGGAGAUGAAAGGCUGCAACUUAUCCACAGCAGAGGAAACUGAAGUUGUGGAAUCACCAUCUCUCUUUACCCCAGUAGUGGUUCCCACCUUGACUGUACUGAUGGAACGAUUUCUCUUUACGACAUGAGACCUUUCUUUCAAAGAAGAAAAUGGAGGCUUGGAAACCGAAUCAUCUUUCCCAGCUGCAUUUAAAGAAGGAUUGUUUUGUUCUGAUCCAUGAGAAAUGGUUGCAUUAUCAGCAGCAUUAACAGAUUCUUCAAAAUCAUUUUUGGUAAAUGCUGGGGCAUCUUCAUGUGCCCCUUCUUCAUCUUCUCCAGACCCAUAUACAGAACCAAGCAAUGACAAUGCACCACCCAUCUGAUCACCACUCUCAAUUUUGUUCUCAUCUUCUAUAGAUUUGCCAUCAAUGUCAGACUUCAGAAGUUCUUGGUGAUCAACAAGAAAUCUGAAGUAAGGAUGAAGAUUAUGAUCAGGCAUCAAGAAUCCAAAUGUCGGGUUGUCCCCCUGCUUAACUCUCAAAAUAAUUUCCGACUGCCCACCAUGUUUGCUAACAAACAUGGCAGUCCUUGCAAUAAUUUGGUGCACCUUCUCUGUUGGAGGCAGGUUUUGCAUUAACUGUUCAGGUACUGAGAAGGGUGGCUGAAAACUAGACUCAGUAUCUGUAUUCUUCUGGUCAGUUGAUUCACUAGAGGCUCCAUAUGAAAAGGCAACCAUAUGAUAGCCAUCAGCAUCAUUCCUUUCCGCUUCAUUUCCUAAAUCUGGCUUAUCGGAUGCUGACGGUAGAUCGAGGUAGCGCUCGUAGUCGAGCUCAGAUUCGAGAGAAUCGUCAAGAUUCGGAGACGGAGAACGUUGCUGGCGGCGGCGAUUUCGCGGUGGAGGAGGAGAGGGCAGUAGGUGACGCACGUCGUAGCGGUCUAUAGAGAGAGAGUUCCAAUCUACAAGCGCGGCAGCGGAGUUAACGAAAGCCGCUAUGGCGUCGUCGUCGAAGAGCAGUGCGUGGCGGCCCACUACCUCGAGAUCCAUUUCGGAUCUUUGGAUGGAGAGGUUAGAGAGAGAGAGGGAGAUAGAGAGCGCGAGAGAAUGGAAGAAACCCUAGAAAUUACGGAGGGA
rnacentral:misc_RNA from 1 species